rnacentral:rRNA from 1 species
UAGCAUAAUCAUUAGUUUUUUAAUUGAGAACUGGAAUGAAAGGUUAAAUAAGAAAUAAUCUUUAUUAAUUUUAAAAUAUUUGAAUUUGUUUUUUUAGUAAAAAAACUAAAAUUUAUUAAAAAGACGAUAAGACCCUAUAAAGCUUUAUAAUAUAAAAUUUAAUAAUUAAUUAGAAUAAUAAAAAAAUUUUUUUUUUAUUAUUUAAUUGGGGUGAUUUAAAGAUUUAAAAAACUCUUUAAUAAAAAUAAAUCAUAAUUAAAUGUUUUUUGAUCCUUAAUUUUAAGAAUAAUAAAAUAAGUUACUUUAGGGAUAACAGCGUAAUUUUUUUGAAGAGUUCUAAUCGAUAAAAAAGAUUGCGACCUCGAUGUUGAAUUAAGAUAAAAGUUAGGUGUAGAAGUUUAAUUUUU